rnacentral:rRNA from 1 species
AUUUAGCAUGCUAGUCGCACGGGUUUAGACCCGUGGCAGAUAGCUCAGUAACACGUGGCCAAACUACCCUAUGGACUGGAAUAACCUCGGGAAACUGAGGCUAAUUCCGGAUACGACUCUCACCCUGGAGUGGGGAGAGUUCGAAACACUACGGUGCCGUAGGAUGUGGCUGCGGCCGAUUAGGUAGACGGUGGGGUAACGGCCCACCGUGCCAAUAAUCGGUACGGGUUGUGAGAGCAAGAGCCCGGAGACGGUAUCUGAGACAAGAUACCGGGCCCUACGGGGCGCAGCAGGCGCGAAACCUUUACACUGCACGACAGUGCGAUAAGGGGACUCCGAGUGCGAGGGCAUAUAGCCCUCGCUUUUCUGUACCGUAAGGAGGUGCGUGAAUAAGUGCUGGGCAAGACCGGUGCCAGCCGCCGCGGUAAUACCGGCAGCCCGAGUGAUGGUCGAUCUUAUUGGGCCUAAAGCGUUCGUAGCUGGCCGCGCAAGUCCGUUGGGAAAUCUACCUGCCUAACGGGUAGGCGUCCGGCGGAAACUGCGUGGCUUGGGACCGGGAGACCCGAGGAGUACGUCUGGGGUAGGAGUGAAAUCCCGUAAUCCUGGACGGACUACCGAUGGCGAAAGCGCCUCGGGAACACGGAUCCGACAGUGAGGAACGAAAGCUGGGGUCUCGAACCGGAUUAGAUACCCGGGUAGUCCCAGCUGUAAACGAUGUCCGCUAGGUGUGGCACAGGCUACGAGCCUGUGCUAUGCCGUAGGGAAGACGCAAGC